GUGCUCGAGACAGCGAGCACCGGGUUUGGCGACCUGGAAAUGUUGGCGGACAACCGCCGUAGCGCGGUUUUUUU
rnacentral:sRNA from 1 species